GACGAACGCUGGCGGCGUGCCUAAUACAUGCAAGUCGAGCGAAUGACGAGAAGCUUGCUUCUCUGAUUUAGCGGCGGACGGGUGAGUAACACGUGGGCAACCUGCCCUACAGAUUGGGAUAACUCAGGGAAACCUGGGCUAAUACCGGAUAAUCCUUCGAAUCACAUGUUUUGAAGUUGAAGGGCGCUUCGGCGUCACUGUAGGAUGGGCCCGCGGUGCAUUAGCUAGUUGGUGGGGUAACGGCCUACCAAGGCAACGAUGCAUAGCCGACCUGAGAGGGUGAUCGGCCACAUUGGGACUGAGACACGGCCCAAACUCCUACGGGAGGCAGCAGUAGGGAAUCUUCCACAAUGGACGAAAGUCUGAUGGAGCAACGCCGCGUGAGUGAUGAAGGUUUUCGGAUCGUAAAACUCUGUUGUAAGGGAAGAACAAGUACGUUAGGAAAUGAACGUACCUUGACGGUACCUUAUUAGAAAGCCACGGCUAACUACGUGCCAGCAGCCGCGGUAA
rnacentral:rRNA from 1 species